GGGUCGCUCCACUACAGAAGCUUUCAACCUUGUCAGGAGGAUGGUGGAGCAGUUCAGGGAUAAGAAGAAGGACCUGUGAAAGAAAAACCCUCUAGGGUCGCUCCACAGCAGAAGCUAUCCACCUUGUCAGGAAGCUAGUGGAGUAGUUCAUGGAUAAGAAGAAGGACCUGCACAUGGUGCUUAUCGACUUGGAGAAGGCGUAUGACAAGGUCCCAAAGGAGGUGCUAUGGAGGUGCUUGGAGGCGUAGAGCGUGCGGAAGCCUACAUCAGAGUAAUCAAGGACAUGACGAUGGUGCUAAGACUAGGGUUAGGACGGUGGGUGGCGACUCUGACCAUUUUCCAGUGGUUAUGGGGCUUCAUCAAGGAUCGACGCUUAGCCCUCUCUUGUUUUCCUUGGUUAUUGAUCUACCCCAAUAUAUUCAAGGGGAUGUGCCUUGGUGUAUGUUAUUUGAUGAUGACAUAGUAUUGAUAGACGAGAUGAGGGUUGGUGUUAUUGAGAGAUUAGAGGUAUGGAGACAGACUCUCGAGUCAAAGGGUUUCAAAAUAAUCAGAUCUAAACAGAAUACCUGGAGUGCAAGUUUAGCGCCGAGCCGAGCGAAGUAGGCAGGGACGUGAUGAUUGGAUCUCAGGUCAUUGCCAAG
rnacentral:lncRNA from 1 species